rnacentral:rRNA from 1 species
AGAGAGAGACAUGCGCGCAUAUCAAUAAGCGGAGGAAAAGAAACUAACAAGGAUUCCCUUAGUAACGGCGAGUGAAGCGGGAAGAGCUCAAAUUUGAAAUCUUCAAGGUUUUACCUUGACGAAUUGUAGUUUAAAGAAGUGUUUUCUGCUGAAGUUUUGGUAAAAGUUCUUUGGAAUAGGACAUCAUAGAGGGUGAGAAUCCCGUAUUUGACCAUUAUUUUCAGCUUUGUGAUACACUUUCAAAGAGUCGGAUUGUUUGGGAAUGCAGUCCAAAAUGGGUGGUAAAUUUCAUCUAAAGCUAAAUAUUGGCGAGAGACCGAUAGCGAACAAGUACCGUGAGGGAAAGAUGAAAAGAACUUUGAAAAGAGAGUUAAACAGUACGUGAAAUUGUCAAAAGGGAAGCGUUUGACACCAGUGUUGUUUUCUCGAAAAUCAAUUAAAAAUGGCUCGAUUUUGUAUUGUUGAGACCUUAAAAGCUCACUGUACAUUUCUCGUGUCUUUUUUAAUGCACUUUUCGUUUAACAAGUCAACAUCAGUUUCUUUUGUUGUAAAAGGGUCAUUGGAAGGUGGCUUUCUUUUCGGAGAAAGUGUUUAUAGCCUUUGGCCUCUGCAAUCGGAAGAGACUGAGGUCUGCAGCGUAGACUCUUCGGGGUUAGAUACAUUUGUGCUAAGUUAUAGCUUUUUAUAGACAACUUGUUGACUAUAAUUAGUCUUGUAGCUUACUCGCUUAUGCUAUUUUACCUACGCUUAGGAUGUUGAAGUCAUCGUAUCGCGC